rnacentral:rRNA from 1 species
CUCAGGACGAACGCUGGCGGCGUGCUUAACACAUGCAAGUCGAACGAUGAUGCCCAGCUUGCUGGGUGGAUUAGUGGCGAACGGGUGAGUAACACGUGAGUAACCUGCCCCUGACUCUGGGAUAAGCGUUGGAAACGACGUCUAAUACUGGAUAUGNNNACCGGCCGCAUGGUCUGGUGGUGGAAAGAUUUUUUGGUUGGGGAUGGACUCGCGGCCUAUCAGCUUGUUGGUGAGGUAAUGGCUCACCAAGGCGACGACGGGUAGCCGGCCUGAGAGGGUGACCGGCCACACUGGGACUGAGACACGGCCCAGACUCCUACGGGAGGCAGCAGUGGGGAAUAUUGCACAAUGGGCGAAAGCCUGAUGCAGCAACGCCGCGUGAGGGAUGACGGCCUUCGGGUUGUAAACCUCUUUUAGUAGGGAAGAAGCGAAAGUGACGGUACCUGCAGAAAAAGCACCGGCUAACUACGUGCCAG